rnacentral:rRNA from 1 species
AUUGAACGCUGGCGGCAUGCCUUACACAUGCAAGUCGAACGGCAGCACGGGAGCAAUCCUGGUGGCGAGUGGCGAACGGGUGAGUAAUGUAUCGGAACGUGCCCAGUCGUGGGGGAUAACGUAGCGAAAGCUACGCUAAUACCGCAUACGAUCUAUGGAUGAAAGCGGGGGAUCGCAAGACCUCGCGCGAUUGGAGCGGCCGAUAUCAGAUUAGGUAGUUGGUGGGGUAAAGGCUCACCAAGCCGACGAUCUGUAGCUGGUCUGAGAGGACGACCAGCCACACUGGGACUGAGACACGGCCCAGACUCCUACGGGAGGCAGCAGUGGGGAAUUUUGGACAAUGGGCGCAAGCCUGAUCCAGCAAUGCCGCGUGCAGGACGAAAGCCUUCGGGUUGUAAACUGCUUUUGUACGGAACGAAACGGCGAGCUCUAAUACAGUUUGCUAAUGACGGUACCGUAAGAAUAAGCACCGGCUAACUACGUGCCAGCCGCCGCAGUAA